UACGUAGGGACCAAGCGUUGUUCGGAUUUACUGGGCGUAAAGGGCGCGUAGGCGGCAAUUCCAGUCAUCUGUGAAAUCUCCGGGCUUAACCCGGAAUGGUCAGAUGAUACUGCUUUGCUAGAGUGCGGAAGGGGCAAUCGGAAUUCUCGGUGUAGCGGUGAAAUGCGUAGAUAUCGAGAGGAACACCUGAGGUGAAGACGGGUUGCUGGGCCGACACUGACGCUGACAGCGCGAAAGCCAGGGGAGCAAACGGG
rnacentral:rRNA from 1 species